rnacentral:rRNA from 1 species
GAUGAACGCUGGCGGCGUGCCUAACACAUGCAAGUCGAACGAAGCACUUUCACAGAUCCCCUUCGGGGGUGAAGUGAUUGUGACUUAGUGGCGGACGGGUGAGUAACGCGUGGGUAACCUGCCUCAUACAGGGGGAUAACAGCUGGAAACGGCUGCUAAAACCGCAUAAGCACACAGCAUCGCAUGAUGCAGUGUGAAAAUAUUUAUAGGUAUGAGAUGGGCCCGCGUCUGAUUAGCUAGUUGGUGAGGUAAAGGCUCACCAAGGCGACGAUCAGUAGCCGGCUUGAGAGAGUGACCGGCCACAUUGGGACUGAGACACGGCCCAAAACUCCUACGGGAGGCAGCAGUGGGGAAUAUUGCACAAUGGGGGAAACCCUGAUGCAGCGACGCCGCGUGAGUGAAGAAGUACUUCGGUAUGUAAAGCUCUAUCAGCAGGGAAGAAAAUGACGGUACCUGACUAAGAAGCCCCGGCUAACUACGUG